rnacentral:lncRNA from 1 species
UCAUGUAAUAGUUAUUUAUGUAGACUAAUUUGAACCUAUGACUUUCAGAUGGCGUCACCGGUUUUAACUAGUAUCGAGUAAACGACAGACCGAGUUAGGAAAGGACUAGCAACGCGUACCAGUUCCGACUGAAUGGUGCAAAUACAUGUACUAAAACGGCGGAGCCUAAUCCUACCAAAGACAGUGCCGAUGUACGCCUUCAAACUUGGAUAAACAGAUGAAAGGUCUAGUGACGAUAAAAUACUGGAACGUGCCGAGGAGAGCAUAUGCUGUCAGCGAAUAGGACUUGCAUCGCAGGGAAUGGACUGGCUGGCCUGCUGACC